GACCCUAUGUGGCAACCCAUACACUGUUAACCAACUGACAUAACCCCCUUCUCUCUUUCUGUCUCUGUGUUGUUCGUCUAAGAAAUCUAUCUUGUUUUCUAAAAGAAGGGGCGUAGAGUAACCCCCUUCUCUCUCUCUGUCUCUGUCUUGUUCGUCUAGAGAAAUCAAUCUAGUUUUCUAAAAGAAGGGGCGUGGAGGAAGGAAGAUAUAUAGAAGUUGCUUCUCAAUUUUCCUUCUUCCAUUUUACACACGCGGCAUUUUCCGCCCGGGAUUUUUGUUGGUUAAGAUGAUUUUGGUGAUGAAUUGUAGUUUGAAGGCUAGGCACCAAGUCUAGUAUUGGCUUUUUUUCUUCUCUUCCUUCAUCAUCAGUAAAUGGGCUGCAUUAGUUCUAAAGUAGCAAGACAGUUUCCUGGACAUGAGGACCCUGUAGUUCUUGCUUCACAAACUGCUUUUAGCGUAAGUGAAGUCGAAGCACUUUUUGAACUAUUCAAGAGCAUUAGUAGUUCUGUUGUUGACGAUGGGUUAAUAAAUAAGGAGGAGUUUCAGCUGGCUCUUUUCAAGAACAGAAAGAAAGAGAAUCUCUUUGCUAAUAGAAUCUUUGACCUCUUCGAUGUUAAGCAAAGGGGAGUCAUUGAUUUUGGUGACUUUGUUAGAGCACUCAAUGUCUUUCAUCCCAAUGCCCCGCAAGAAGAAAAGAUAGACUUUUCAUUUAGGCUUUAUGAUUUGGAGAAUACAGGAUUUAUUGAGCGCCAAGAGGUUAAGCAAAUGUUGAUUGCCCUCCUUUGUGAAUCUGAAAUGAAGUUGGCUGAUGAGAC
rnacentral:misc_RNA from 1 species